GAAGCAUAACACCAUGAGACGUUUUUGUUUGGGGACAGAGAAUAAUGAGGAAAAGAGAGAAAGAGUCUUGAAGGAACAGUUGAAAAGAUAUAGCAUGCUGUUAAGCAGGCAGGGUUGAACAUGAAAUAGAUAUCCCAUCAAAUGGGGAACUUGUGGAGAGUUUAAAGAAGAAACUAUUUCAGUGAGUGUCAGGGUUAAGUAAAAAAUCAAAAAACAAACUAGGAGGCAGCAAAGCCUUCCCUGGUAACAGUGGCGGGGCCCCAUUUUCCCCAAUCCUCCUGCCCUUCCCCUUGUCAGAGCUGCACCCUCAGGGCCUCUAUCACCCGCCUGCUCCAUGGUGCCCUUCAGGUCCCACCCUGGGCCUCCCUGAUGCUGAGAUGUGGCUGCCUAUGGGACCGUGCCUGGCCUCCUGGCAUGUGUGACCUGGAAAUGUGGCUAGGAGCUGACAGAACAUUUAGGUUGCACAAGGUCUGCUGGAGCACUUUAGAGAAUUCCAGAUGAAUCUUGAUUGCAUCCUGGAAUGCACCGCUGGAGCCCUGGGGACCAGCAUGGGACAUGAGUGAAGACAAGAUGGGAUCUAUUGUCCUCCAGACCUGCAUAUAUGUGUGUUCAAAUCCUGACUCCAUGAGGCUUGAGUCUGUAUCCCUCUGGAAAAAUGGAAAUAAAAGUGCCUACCUUAUGGGUUUAUUCUGAGGACUAUUUGAGAUAAUGCAUUUAAAGAACUUGCUCAGUGCAUAGCACAUCAUGGGCACUCACUAAAUAUUAGCUCUUAAUAUAGUUAUGAAAACUAAACCCAAUGGGGAGAAAAUGCAAGGCCAUCUUGAUAAUGAGGGAGUCAGCUCUCUGAGCCCAGAAGACCAUAUUCCAGGGCCAGGCAUAGUGGCUCACACCUGUAAUCCUAGCACUUGGGGAGGCUGAGCUGGGGGAUGACUUGAGGCCAGGGGUUUGAGACUAGCCUGGCUAACAUGGAAAAAACCCAUCUUUACUAAAAAUGCGAACAAUUAGCUGGGUGUGGUGGCACAC
rnacentral:lncRNA from 1 species